GACGAACGCUGGCGGCAUGCCUAACACAUGCAAGUCGAACGGAACUUGUUGAAUGAAGUUUUCGGAUGGAUUUUGACAAGUUUAGUGGCGGACGGGUGAGUAACGCGUGAGCAACCUGCCUUUCAGAGGGGGACAACAGUUGGAAACGACUGCUAAUACCGCAUGAUGUGUCGGGAUCGCAUGGUCUGUACAUCAAAGCUUUAUGUGCUGAAAGAUGGCCUCGCGUCUGAUUAGCUAGUUGGUGAGGUAACGGCUCACCAAGGCGACGAUCAGUAGCCGGACUGAGAGGUUGGCCGGCCACAUUGGGACUGAGACACGGCCCAGACUCCUACGGGAGGCAGCAGUGGGGAAUAUUGGUCAAUGGACGCAAGUCUGAACCAGCCAUGCCGCGUGCAGGAUGACGGCUCUAUGAGUUGUAAACUGCUUUUAUACGAGGGUAAACGCAGAUACGUGUAUCUGUCUGAAAGUAU
rnacentral:rRNA from 1 species